GACGAACGCUGGCGGCGUGCUUAACACAUGCAGGUCGAGCGGUAAGGCUCCUUCGGGAGUACACGAGCGGCGAACGGGUGAGUAACACGUGAGUAACCUGCCCUUCUUAUCGGAAUAAGCGUUGGAAACGACGUCUAAUGCCGAAUACGACUUCGGAAGGCAUCUUCUGAAGUGGAAAGCUCCGGCGGAGAAGGAUGGACUCGCGGCCUAUCAGCUUGUUGGUGAGGUAACGGCUCACCAAGGCGACGACGGGUAGCCGGCCUGAGAGGGUGACCGGCCACACUGGGACUGAGACACGGCCCAGACUCCUACGGGAGGCAGCAAUGGGGAAUAUUGGACAAUGGGCGCAAGCCUGAUCCAGCAACGCCGCGUGAGGGAUGACGGCCUUCGGGUUGUAAACCUCUUUCAGCAGGGACGAAGCGCAAGUGACGGUACCUGCAGAAGAAGGACCGGCCAACUACGUGCCAGCCGCCGCGGUAA
rnacentral:rRNA from 1 species